rnacentral:rRNA from 1 species
GGGAAACUGAGGCUAAUCCGUCAUAGUUGGAGCGGCCUGGAACGGUGCUCCAUCCAAAGGUACGGUGAAAUGCAACCGCGCCGCUGUAGGAUAGGAUCGCUCUCGAUUAUGGUAGUUGGUGAGGUAAUGGCUCACCAAGCCUAUGAUCGAUAAGGGCCGUGGGAGCGGGAGCCCUGAGAUGGAUACUGAGACAAUGAUCCAGGCCUUACGAGGCGCAGCAGGCGCGAAACCUUUACAAUGCACGGCAGUGUGAUAAGGUUACCCGGAGUGCUAACUACAUAUAGUUGGCUGUUAUAGGUGUGUACAAAACCCUAUGAGAAAGGAGAGGGCAAGGCUGGUGCCAGCCGCCGCGGGAAAAACCAGCUCUACAAGUGGUCGGGAAUAUUAUUGGGCUUAAAGUGUCCGUAGCCCGGUUUGAUAAGUCCCUGGUUAAAUCUGACAGCUUUAACUGUCAGGUCGCUAGGGAAACUAUCUUACUGGAGGGUGGGGAAAGGUCUGAGGUACUCCAGGGGUAGCGGUGAAAUGCGAUAAUCCUCGGGGGACCACCAGUGGCGAAGGCGUCAGACUGGAACACGCCUGACGGUGAGGGACGAAAGCCAGGGGAGCGAACGGGAUUAGAUACCCCGGUAGUCCUGGCUGUAAACGAUGCGUGCUAGGUGUUGGUAGGGCUCUGAGCCGUACCAGUGCCGUAGGGAAACUGUUAAGCGCGCCGCCUGGGAAGUACGCUCGCAAGGGUGAAACUUA